rnacentral:rRNA from 1 species
CACGUAGGGGGCAAGCGUUGUUCGGAUUCAUUGGGCGUAAAGGGUGUGUAGGUGGCGCCGUAAGUCGGGUGUGAAAUUUCGGAGCUUAACUCCGAAACUGCAUUCGAUACUGCGGUGCUUGAGGACUGGAGAGGAGACUGGAAUUCAUGGUGUAGCAGUGAAAUGCGUAGAGAUCAUGAGGAAGACCAGUGGCGAAGGCGGGUCUCUGGACAGUUCCUGACACUGAGACACGAAGGCCAGGGGAGCAAACGGG